rnacentral:rRNA from 1 species
UACGUAGGGGGCUAGCGUUGUCCGGAUUUAUUGGGCGUAAAGAGCGUGUAGGCGGCCAUGUAGGUCCGGUGUGAAAACUCGAGGCUUAACCUCGAGAUGUCAUCGGAAACCAUUUGGCUAGAGUCCGGAAGAGGAGAGUGGAAUUCCUGGUGUAGCGGUGAAAUGCGCAGAUAUCAGGAGGAACACCGGUGGCGAAGGCGGAUCUCUGGGCCUUACCUGACGCUGAGGCGCGAAAGCUAGGGGAGCAAACAGG